rnacentral:pre_miRNA from 1 species
AAUGGAAUUGCUGGGUCACAUGGUAACUCUUUUUAAUUGAGGAAUUGCCAAAAUGUUUUCCAAAAUGGCUGCACCAUAUUUCAUUCCCACUGGUAAU